UACGGAGGGUGCAAGCGUUGUCCGGAUUUAUUGGGUUUAAAGGGUGCGUAGGCGGCUUUUUAAGUCAGUGGUGAAAUACAGCAGCUCAACUGUUGAGGUGCCAUUGAUACUGAAGAGCUUGAGUACAGAUGAGGUAGGCGGAAUUUAUGGUGUAGCGGUGAAAUGCAUAGAUACCAUAGAGAACACCGAUUGCGAAGGCAGCUUACUAAGCUGUAACUGACGCUGAGGCACGAAAGCGUGGGGAGCGAACAGG
rnacentral:rRNA from 1 species